AUUUUUGUCUGAGCUGCUCAGGGCAGGAACGCCUGUGCAAAGGGAAGAGUUAUGAGAAAAUGAAAAUGAAGGCUGUGAUAGCUCUGGAUCCCUCAUACCAACAAUGACAUAGAAAUACUAGAACUUCAGUAGUUCCUCUAUUCAGUAAAAUAAUGUGUAUAAAUAGGACCUUGUAGUAGUAUCAAUUGAUACUCUGAUCUUCAGACCUUUUUUAUUGCUGCAUACUUUGGAGCUAUCACUGUUCCAGCCAGUUGACAGAAAUGCUGAUAACCAGUUGGAGGAUGAUUCAUAAUUAUUAAAAGCUCAGAGGCAAUGGGAGGAAAGACAUCUCUGCCUUAACUCACAGGAAUAGUCACCUUUCACCUAUAUUUACUGACUAUUUUUCUGGAUCAAAACAACUGGGGCAAAAAUAGGGUUCUACCUUUCCACUGGUUUCAAAAGAUGUAAUUUCUAUGGAGAAUAGUUACAGAAUAGAUCUCAUGCUCAAACCAAGCAGUUUAAACAAAGUUAAUGGAAACAUCAGCUCAAAGCACUACAUAAAGACAUCACAAGUAAUUAAAAUUAAAUUUGGGUUGUUUUACAAAGUCAUAUAAAAAGAGAGAAAGGGCAAGAGAAAAGUCAGUCUUGGUUUAGAAAUAUUCAGUGAUUUAUCAUAAGGUCAUUGCAGUUCAAUGCUAGAACAAUGUCAGCUCCAAAAAAUCUAGACUGGAUAGGUAGAAACUAAGAGAAAAGAAACAGCCAGAAACCAAGUGUCACAUCACUGCUCACUCCCUCACCAGUGGGACUGGGAGAAAAUCAGAAGGGUAAAAAUUGGAGAACUCCUGGGUUGAGAUAAAGACAGUUUGCUAGGUAAAGCAAAUGCCACUCACAAAAGUAAAGCAAAACAAGAAGAUAAUGAAUCACUGCUUCCCAGGGGCAGGCAGGUGUUCAGCCAUGUCCAGGACAGCAAGGCUCCAUCAGAUGUAACAGUUACUUGGGAAGGCAAAUGCUGUCACUCCAAAUGUGCCCCCCUCCCUCUUUCUUCCCCCCACUUUUUUUUUACUGAGCAUGAUGUCUGGACUAUCCCUUUGGUCAGUUUGAGUCACCUGUCCUGGCUGUGUCUUCUCUCAGGCUCCCAUGCACCCCCAGCCUCCCUGCCAGCAUGAAAAGCAGAAAAGCAGAAAAGCUCUUGGCUCUGUGUAAGUCCUGUUCAGCAAUCAAAAAAAAAAAUCCAAAUCAUAGUCCCAUACCAGCCAUGGUGAAGGAAACUAACUCCAUCCUAGCCAAAACCAGCACUGUCCAAACUACUAAAUAAGGGCCAUUUAAGAGAAUAUUCAGCUAUGAGCAUUACUUAAGUGUCUAGCCACCUGCAUGCCUACUCCACAUUAACUGGUAAAGAAAACUUGAAAUAUUCAAGUAUCUGCAACAUGAUAUGGACUUUUUACUGUAGAAAAUGUUCCCAAGUCGAAAACAGGUUAGAAAUUACUUGGGUUCAUUGGGUUCAUUGUGUGAUAGAUUUUGAGCUGUCUAUUAAUCACACCCAUUCCAGUUCCUGUUACCCAGGUGCAAUGGAUCAUCAGUAAUACCUGAAGGGUCAGCUGAAGACCAAAGGUUAUGCCUCUGUGGAAUUUAUCAUUUCUCAUUGCAAAUAUCUCUGAAUUGGAGAAGUGGCAUGGAGUUCCCCUCUGCAGAUAAACAGGAGGUGCUUGUUUCCAGAAGAGUGAAUGGUCAGCAGCAAUAAAUCAACUUUAAAACACAACAGUCCAAACAGACUGGAGACAUCCUUGGCUCAAGAAUGUGGAGCUAUGUCCUGGCUCAGAUACAUUGUUGGAGGUGAAACAGUAGCUGUGGACAUCCUCUGCUCAGGGUACUGUGUCAGUGCUAUCCCCCGCCUUUGCUAUUUCCAGCCAGAUUUGCAGAAGCAACAGGAAAGUUAGCAAAGCAAGGCAAACAGUGCUGGGUUAUUUUUGUUACACUCCGUUUCCUUGCAGCUGGUCAAAGUGCUCAGUACCUUCCAAAUCUGACCAGAUAGAAAUGCAAGUGAAAACUGGACUUGAAGUGAGCACCAGACAAGCCUGGAGCAGUGUCUUGUGGUUGAUGCCCUUUGUCCUGCCCUGUUUCAUCAGCAAGAGUGAGCAGCCUUUUGUGCACACUCACACCAGAAGAUGUAAGUGCAAAGCCAGGAGGUCUCACCUAUUUUUAACGUCUCCCAAACCCCAGGGCAAGACCCAAGGAGGAUAUUGUGCAGGACAAUGGGGUCACACCAGCCAGGAAGCCUAAGGACAGUGGGGGCUGUAGCCCAGGCCCCACUGGGUGGCUGCAGAGCAGGAAGACCAAAGAGCUGCUGAGCUGAGCUGAGCUGAGCAUUCAGCCCCAGCCAGUCCUCAGGGGUCCUGGCGCUCUCCCUGCCAUGGUGUUCUGCCAUGUCUCUGCUGUUUACCUCCCUGCAGAGAGCUCCCAGGGCAGGGACAGCCCCUGCAAGCUCCACUGCUGCCAGGAGCAGGGAGAUGUCUCAUUUAAGGAGCUAUUACUGGUACCAGUAAGCACACUGUAGUGGCCUUUUCCUGCAUACUUACUCUGAAUCUGCUCAUGAAAAAUACCACCUAAACUGGGCUUGGGCCAUUAGCUUUACCUGGUGCUCUUACACUGGGAUUUGUUUCUUUUUAUUAGAUACAGUUUUCCAAAGGGACAGAUAAUUGCUGUUCCAUCUUGAAAUUAAAACAAAAAAACCAAGCAAAGUCACCAUCAACUUUCUUGUCAUGUGUAAUUUUCUUGCGUGAUUUACAAAUUGUUUCCUCUCUUUUCUCCUGAUGGGAAAUGUGGGAUAGGGACCCAACACAGCAUCUGGGAAGCUGUAGUCCCACGGCUGAGCUGGAUCAUCAGCUCAGGUGCCAGAGGAGCUGGAAUGAGAGACGGCUGCCCCCAUGUCAUCCAUCAUGGGAAAAAAUGCCCAAAGCAGUGUGUAUUUAAGGUUGCCAUCUCCCAGAUGGCCCUUUACUCAGAUCAUCCCAAUAUGUUGUUAGUUAUGGAGCAGGCCUUUGGGCUUAGGCUUGUUGUGAGAAACCAAAGGCGUGCUUACCAUUUUCUGUGAUAGCAGCAGAGCUUAAAUGAAUGAUUAUAAUAAUAACUGCAGAGUGUGUUUCUGAGGUUUUACUACAUGUAAACACAAUCAUAAGUGUAAUCAAUGUCAAUGACUUCCAUUUAAUUCUCAGACAAAGUUUGCUUUUAAAUACCACACCAGAUUUGACACGGUCAGUGAUAAAUGGAAUGCAAUUAGUUCUACUAUUUGCUUUGAUGAUAUGCUAAAUUAUUUCUUACAACAGACCAUUUAUUAUCCAAAGCUAAUGGUUAUACUCUUGCAUUUAACAAAUCUAAUGUAUAUUAAACCGUAGCAAACUGAUAAGUUUCAAAAUUAGAUACUAAAGGCUAGAAAAAAGUGAUUUCAUGAAUGAGUUUCAUUUAAUAAAACCUUGUCAAUGCUCAAGUAAUAAAACCUUAAAUUAGAAGAGUUUUGUAUAUAUUUCUCAUAAUUGCACAAAUUAAAAAAAAAUUAUGUUGCCUCUUA